rnacentral:rRNA from 1 species
UACGUAGGGUGCAAGCGUUGUCCGGAAUUAUUGGGCGUAAAGAGCUCGUAGGCGGUUCGUCGCGUCGGCUGUGAAAACCCGGAGCUCAACUCCGGGCCUGCGGUCGAUACGGGCGGACUUGAGUGUUGCAGGGGAGACUGGAAUUCCUGGUGUAGCGGUGAAAUGCGCAGAUAUCAGGAGGAACACCGGUGGCGAAGGCGGGUCUCUGGGCAACUACUGACGCUGAGGAGCGAAAGCGUGGGGAGCGAACAGG